AUUGAACGCUGGCGGCAGGCUUAACACAUGCAAGUCGAAGCGGGGAWRAGGGUGCUUGCACCUUAUCUUAGCGGCGGACGGGUGAGUAAUGCUUAGGAAUCUGCCUAUUAGUGGGGGACAACAUUCCGAAAGGNAUGCUAAUACCGCAUACGUCCUACGGGAGAAAGCAGGGGAUCUUCGGACCUUGCGCUAAUAGAUGAGCCUAAGUCGGAUUAGCUAGUUGGUGGGGUAAAGGCCUACCAAGGCGACGAUCUGUAGCGGGUCUGAGAGGAUGAUCCGCCACACUGGGACUGAGACACGGCCCAGACUCCUACGGGAGGCAGCAGUGGGGAAUAUUGGACAAUGGGGGGAACCCUGAUCCAGCCAUGCCGCGUGUGUGAAGAAGGCUUAUGGUUGUAAAGCACUUUAAGCGAGGAGGAGGCUACUAACUAAUACCUUGGGAUAGUGGACGUUACUCCAGAAUAAGCACCGGUAACCUGUGCAACGCGGUAAA
rnacentral:rRNA from 3 species